CACUAGGCCCUUUUCAGGGCCACCAUACCCAAGCCAGUCACUGACCU
rfam:Operophtera brumata OBRT01_Sc02225, whole genome shotgun sequence.